rnacentral:misc_RNA from 1 species
GAAAUGCGAUAAGUAAUGUGAAUUGCAGAAUUCAGUGAAUCAUCGAAUCUUUGAACGCACCUUGCGCUCCUUGGUAUUCCUUGGAGCAUGCCUGUUUGAGUAUCAUGAAAUCUUCAAAGUAAAUCUUUUGUUAACUCAAUUGGUUUCUACUUUGGUAUUGGAGGUCUUUGCAGCUUCACACCUGCUCCUCUUUGUUCAUUAGCUGGAUCUCAGUGUUAUGCUUGGUUCCACUCGGCGUGAUAAGUUAUCUAUCGCUGAGGACACUGUAAAAGGUGGCCAAGGUAAAUGCAGAUGAACCGCUUCUAAUAGUCCAUUGACUUUGACAAUACUUUUAUGAUCUGAUCUCAAAUCAGGUAGGACUACCCGCUGAGCUUAAGC